UAAGCAUAUCAAUAAGCGGAGGAAAAGAAACCAACAGGGAUUGCCUUAGUAACGGCGAGUGAAGCGGCAAAAGCUCAAAUUUGAAAUCUGGCACCUUCGGUGUCCGAGUUGUAAUUUGAAGAAGGUAACUUUGGAGUCAGCUCUUGUCUAUGUUCCUUGGAACAGGACGUCACAGAGGGUGAGAAUCCCGUGCGAUGAGAUGUCUGAUUCUAUGUAAAGUGCUUUCGAAGAGUCGAGUUGUUUGGGAAUGCAGCUCUAAGUGGGUGGUAAAUUCCAUCUAAAGCUAAAUAUUGGCGAGAGACCGAUAGCGAACAAGUACAGUGAUGGAAAGAUGAAAAGAACUUUGAAAAGAGAGUGAAAAAGUACGUGAAAUUGUUGAAAGGGAAGGGUUUGAGAUCAGACUUGGUAUUUUGUAUGUCUUGCUUUCGGGUGGGGCCUCUACAGUUUACUGGGCCAGCAUCGGUUUGGACGGUAGGAUAAUGACAUUGGAAUGUGGCACCACUUCGGUGG
rnacentral:rRNA from 1 species